AAAUCUGAACUCCAGCGUCAAAUCGCGCCGCGACAACCAAUCAGGAGCCUGGUGACGUGGCUGUGACCUAGGUCAAAGGGGCAGAUCCAGCCAAAGCCCUUCAUUCUUUAAUGGAGGGAAGGCUAAUCAACGCCGUAGCAAACAACCCGGAGCUGUACGACACCAGCUGCUUUCUGUACCGAGACAGGAAUAUAAAGGACCGAGCUUGGAGGAAGAUAUGUGAAGAGAUCGGGCAACCUGAACCAACUGAUUCUGCAGCAGAGCAUCCCCUGUUGCUUCUCCUUGCUCCCCAGUCCCUGAGCUCCUGCUGCUGCACCCACAGGCCCAGAGAGGAGGACAGCUCCGAGGCAGAUGAGGGACUGGUCCCAGGACGGUCCAUCGGCGGUGGAGCUGGCCAUCCUGGUGUCCCUGAAGAGGCCACGCCAGUCUCCAAUGGAGCAUUUC
ensembl:lncRNA